CGGUUCAGGUAGACUUUUAAGAUUAACAAGUUUUAAACGCAGUCGAACGAAUAUAAUAAUGGCAAGUGAGGUGUACAAUAAGAGAACACCGCGUCCAUAUUGCAGUGGACGCGAGAGCGAAUCAAAAUCGAAUUCUCACGAUAAAAACGCAGCCGCGUCACAUGAAACAAGCACACUUUCAGAUAACGACAGAUUAAUCUAUAAACUCCAUCUGGACGCAUGCAAGGUAAGAGCAAACGCGAACGCUUAUAAACUGCACAUCUAGCAGCUGGUGUCACAUUUAAAGAGACUCGUGUAGAUACACUAGAGCCUGAGUCAGUGACCUGUGUAAGGGAACCUAACCAACAUAGGUUAUAUCAAUGCUAUCAUCCUAUAUUUUCCAUUUUUAAGUAUAUAUAUAUAUAUAUAUAUUAUAUAUAUAUAUAUAUAUACAUUCUUAGGUAACUAAAAAAAGAACAUACUAGACCUCUAACUUGCAGACUACUAAGGCUACUUAAGUGUGUGGAAGACUGGGUCAUUUUUGAAAGUUCCUUUUGGCUGUCAGGAACUAUGUAGUUUGAUGGCCGAGAGAAAGUUAUGGAAGACCCGUAGAGUUGGAGGAUGCACAGACAGUGUCAGCUUCACUAUGGAGCCAAAGGAUGGCAUCUGAAAUGGCAUGCCACAAAAAAUGCCUCGGGCCCUUUUGGCGUCGAAGGCUGUCAUAGAUGAAGCCAGCACUCUCUGAGGAAGAGUCAGAAAUGAUGCUUAAGAAACACGUUUGCAUUGUGCUCUCACUGUAUUUUCAUUAAUGACUUGUUAAAUUUCCAGGGGUGUAAAGUGGAGGUAAUAAAGUUUAUUUGUUAUAAUCAUUUAGAAGUUUAAUAUUUUACUGAUCCUUAUAAACAGUCUUCUCAAAUUUGAUCAUUUUGAUGAUCAUCUGCAAAUUGCAUCUGUUCACAGAAUCAGAAAAGAACAUACAUUGACCCUAUAACUGGCUACAACGUGUUCACUGAGUUUGCCCAUAGGAAAAGAGGAAGAUGCUGUGGGAGUGCCUGCAGACAUUGUCCAUACGGGCAAAUUAACGUGGAGGAUCCUGCUAAGAAGAAAACCUUCAACUCUUUGUUUUAUGUAUAGCAGUAAAUGUUAAGAUCGGCUGAACAACUCAUUUUGUGUGCUCCUGUAUUGAAUUUGGACUUCUUUUAAUGCGCAUUCGUCUUACACUCUGUUUAAAAUGAUGAAAUACGCUACACCAGAUGUGCAACCCACACUCCAGGAAAUGGUUUGAAUCACAUCUAUCCACUGUGAGUUGACUUACAGGAGUUGGUGUGCUCCUCUGUCAGAUGAAUUCCACAAGCGGGAAUUUUUGCGGUGAUGAAUAUUCAUAUGGUUACAGGCGAUCAUAAUUUUGACAGCUGUCAAUUCUGACUACUUCCUCCCUGGUAAAUGUUCGACCAAGAAAACACAAUGGAGAAUAAAGUCCUCUCAUAAAAGUGUGUUGACAUUAAAUACAAUCGAAGUCUUCAUUUCUCAUAAAGAAAGUCUAUAUGAAAUUACAAAGAAAUGAUACACAAAGUGUUCACAGAUGUAUAUUUGAUUGUAGUUAUUAUAUGUUAUUUAAACUAAGUAAAAUUACUUUUUGAAAAAAG